rnacentral:rRNA from 1 species
UACGAAGGGGGCUAGCGUUGUUCGGAAUUACUGGGCGUAAAGGGCGCGUAGGCGGCGUGUCAAGUCAGGCGUGAAAGCCCCGGGCUCAACCUGGGAACCGCGCUUGAGACUGGCAUGCUCGAGUUCGGGAGAGGAUGGUGGAAUUCCCAGUGUAGAGGUGAAAUUCGUAGAUAUUGGGAAGAACACCGAUGGCGAAGGCGGCUCUCUGGACCGACACUGACGCUGAGGCGCGAAAGCGUGGGGAGCAAACAGG